AUUGAACGCUGGCGGCAGGCCUAACACAUGCAAGUCGAACGAGUGGCGGACGGGUGAGUAAUGUCUGGGAAACUGCCCGAUGGAGGGGGAUAACUACUGGAAACGGUAGCUAAUACCGCAUACCAUCGGAUGUGCCCAGAUGGGAUUAGCUAGUAGGUGGGGUAACGGCUCACUGAGGCGACGAUCCCUAGCUGGUCUGAGAGGAUGACCAGCAACACGGGAACUGAGACACGGUCCAGAGUCGUACGGGAGGCAGCAGUGGAGAAGAUGGCACAAUGGGCUCAAUCCUGAUGCAGCAAUGCCGCGUGUAUGAAGAAGGCCUUCGGGUUGUAAAGUACUUUCAGCGAGGAGGCGUUACGCGCAGAAGAAGCACCGGCUAACUCCGUGCCAGCCGCCGCGGUAAUUC
rnacentral:rRNA from 1 species